CCUACGGGAGGCAGCAGUGAGGAAUAUUGCACAAUGGGGGGAACCCUGAUGCAGCGACGCCGCGUGAGUGAAGAAGGAUUUCUGUAUGUAAAGCUCUAUCAGCAGGAACGAGACAAGACGGUACCUGACUAAGAGGCCCCGUCUAACUACGUGCCAGCAGCCGCGGUAAUACGUAGGGGGCAAGCGUUAUCCGGAAUCACUGGGUGUAAAGGGAGCGUAGACGGCUGAGCAAGCCUGAAGUGAAAGGCUGGGGCCCAACCCCCGGACUGCUUUGGGAACUGUGCGGCUGGAGUGCAGGAGAGGUAAGUGGAAUUCGUGGUGUAGCGGUGAAAUGCGUAGAUAUUAGGAGGAACACCAGUGGCGAAGGCGGCUUACUGGACUGUAACUGACGUUGAGGCUCGAAAGCGUGGGGAGCAAACAGGAUUAGAUACCCCAGUAGUC
rnacentral:rRNA from 1 species